UACGAAGGGGGCUAGCGUUGCUCGGAAUCACUGGGCGUAAAGGGUGCGUAGGCGGGUCUUUUAAGUCAGGGGUGAAAUCCUGGAGCUCAACUCCAGAACUGCCUUUGAUACUGAGGGUCUUGAGUUCGGGAGAGGUGAGUGGAACUGCGAGUGUAGAGGUGAAAUUCGUAGAUAUUCGCAAGAACACCAGUGGCGAAGGCGGCUCACUGGCCCGAUACUGACGCUGAGGCACGAAAGCGUGGGGAGCAAACAGG
rnacentral:rRNA from 1 species